rnacentral:tRNA from 1 species
GGCUCCAUAGUGUAGUGGUUAGCAUGUCUGCUUUACACGCAGAAGGUCCUGAGUUUGCACCCCAGGUGGAGCCA